UGUGUAGGCGGUUCUUUAAGUUUGGUGUGAAAUCUCCCGGCUUAACCGGGAGGGUGCGCCGAAUACUGAGGGACUAGAGUACGGGAGAGGAAAGUGGAAUUCCUGGUGUAGCGGUGAAAUGCGUAGAUAUCAGGAGGAACACCGGUGGUGUAGACGGCUUUCUGGACCGACACUGAUGCUGAGACACGAAAGCGUGGGUAGCAAACAGGAUUAGAUACCCUGGUAGUCCACGCCCUAAACGAUGCAUAUUUGGUGUGGGCAGUUCAUUCUGUCCGUGCCGGAGCUAACGCGUUAAAUAUGCCGCCUGGGGAGUACAGUCGCAAGGCUGAA
rnacentral:rRNA from 1 species